AGCUGUGUGGCUCAGUGGUAGAGUGCUUGCCUAACGUGUGAGGCACUGAGUUUGAUUCUCCACACACAUA
rnacentral:tRNA from 1 species